rnacentral:rRNA from 1 species
AUUGACAAGCUCGGAGCCUGAGGCAUGCACUGAGNAUCAGCUUGUGUCCUCUACGUAUUGUCACGUUGUAUGCCGCGCGUGACGGGGGUGGAGUGAACUAGCGUGGCGGUCAACCUGCGCUGUGACAGUACUGCGCGAUGACACUCCGAGGCAAACUCGCGAGCUAAGUACCGGAUGAAUCAUGUUGUACUACUCUGACAUGACAGAAGAAAAAAUUCUAAAAGAAUGGGUAUUGCGGGCUUAUUUCAACAUUGAUCANUAUUGGGUCCCGCCGCGUUGCCAUUUAAGCCUAGGUAUGUGUUUAGGGUUAUCGGGCUCCACGCAAGGGUCAAACGCAUCGCAGUAGCCCUGCACCCUGAUGCAGGCGUUCAUUCGCGCUCACUACGUAGAGGCACCUGCAGUAACUACCGUGCACCUANCAGCCUGCCGUGAGCUGUGGGCANUGGCUAAGUCUAUGUUGGCAUGCACNCUCGGCAGCGAACCCCGAUCCCCGGAUAGACGUGGUAGUCCCCGUAGCUGCACGGAGGCUCGCACCG